CCCUGUCUGCAAAAUGCACUUGCCUCUUCUAAAAGGGAUUACCAAAAUGUCAUACUGGAGUGAUCAAAUCAAACCAAACUUCCCAAAGCUUUAUUCCUUUAAAGGGGUUAUAAUCAGCAUGUAUUUUAGGCUGUUUCCUAUUGCCUUGCUCAAGUCUGAGAAACCAAGCAGAGGUGUGAUGCCAUGUGCAGCUCUAAGAGUGAAAAGACAAGCCCAGAUAGUGACCCAAAAAAGAAGACAGAAAUCUAGGCUUAUUUCAUAAACAAAACCAGAGAUGCUGAUGCAGUGGUCCAAAAAAAAAUCUGGGUGUUUAUUGACUUUUAUUUGCUGUAUCCUGUAAACCAAAAUCCACAUUAAAAAUGUCAAAAUGACAGAUUUCAAAAUAUUUUGAUGGCAGUAUUGUCUUCUCGGGACAUAUUUCAGCCACUUCUUGGUUUACUUUGAAUCACAUAAUAGUCAUAAAAAGAACAUGUUUUCCUUGCCCACCAAAAAACGUACCACUACAGGAGGGCAGCCCAUGGGGCCACCUGGAAUCAAGGAGUAGGAUUUUUUGUUGCUUUAUGUACUGGUUUACUCUUUUAUAGGAACAAAGCACUAUUUGAUCCCUGCUUUUUUUCCACUAAAUCUCAUUUGCUCAGAAGUUUAACCCCAUCCAUGUGUUCAGCAGAGGCUUUUACAGCACUAAUAAAAGCAUUUUUCUACAAAGGGUCAAAAACCAUUGCUCUUAAUACAUUUGUGGAUCUGCUUUUGAACA